UUAGCUUUAAGAUAUAUUUCAUUCUCAAGAAAUCUUUAAGAUGACAGAUGCAGUUUGGAAGGCCGUCCAUAUGGAAAUCAUUGUGCAUAUCAUUGGGAACGCUACAGCUAAAAUGAUACUACUGCUUGGCAAGGUUAUAGAGAAGGUAGAGGACACAGCAGUUGAGAGGGGAGCAUUUUGUUUCAUGAAUUCUUUAUGUUGUAAAAACUAACAUAUUCUCUUUUGGUCUAUUUUUAUUAGAUGGAUGCAAGUUUGAAGGCCAUGGAUAUGGUGAUGCAAAUCAUUUUUAAUAUCAGUGGGAAGGCUAUAACUGAAAUGAUACCACAGCUCGGCAAGUUCACAGAGAAGAUUUUGGACGCAAGUUUGAAGGCCAUGGUUAUGGUGAUGCAAAUCAUUAUGUCUAUCAUUACGAAGACUACAGCUGAAAUGUAUCGACUG